CUGGAAACCAAGGGCACAGAGGUGGCCAGUUAUCCCGGAUGACGCCUGGGGAUCGUACACAUGACAGUGGCAGCCAAGGAGCAGCCCAGGGUCGUCUCCUCUUCCUCCUCCUCCUCCUCCUCCUCCCCAACUCACCAAAUCUGUAUCCGCACUUUGAUGCCAUCUACCUCUAUGGUCUUCAUCUUAAAGUCAACACCUGGAGAAAGGAAGAAGCAAGAAACCCCAACAGGAC